CCAGCCUGGGUGACAGAGUGAGAUUCUAACUCAAAAAAAAUGUAACUGGACGCUUUGCAUUUUUAUUUGCUAAGUCCUCCAAUUCUAUCCAAGACACGGUCUCUCCGAAACUCCGGGAGGCUCCAGAGCAAAACAACGGAAAUAGGAAGACUACCGGUCUUGACUCCUCCCCGCCAUCAAAGAAGGCUGGUACCAUUUCCGGCUUUCCCUAGACAGUAGGGGGCCGGAAGUGACGUCAUCCUAAGGUAGGGCCUUAGCGAGGGAAAUGGCUGCCGCGUAAUGCCCGGUGAUGCGAGAAAGAAGGGCCUGCUGCCACCAGGACCCGUCAUCGCCCAGCCCAGGGACCGCUUCUGAAGGCCAUGCGAGCCCUGGCGGCGCAGACUUACCAGCCCACAGCUCCGGCCGCGGUGCCCAGCGCUGGAGAACGGAAUAGAGACGGGCUUUCGCCAUGUUGCCCAGGCUGGUCUCGAACGCCUAACCUCAAGCGAUCCACCCACCUCAGCCUCCGAAAGUGAUGGGAUUACAGACUUCAGCCGCCGCACCCGGCCUCUCCCUUCCUUUAUCCUGUACGGUCAGUCAGCAGAUGCACCCUGAGUGUCAGGCACUGACUGGGCUGAGCAAACGAACUGAGAAUCACUACUUCCCCACAACUCACCCCUUCUGGAGCCAGAUUAAGUAAUUCCCGCUCCUCUCCAUGGCUUUUAUUCCACAACUUAUUAUUGUUCUUCCCUCUCCCACCAUGGGCCACCAAAUACAGCUCUGGCUUAGCAAGAGUUCCAUUCUGCGAUCCUCAAGCACAUAAGCGGCAUGUAAACGCUAAUGACUCUGGGCCUACCUCGCUGUCCCUACUCUCAUCCGGGGCCUACCCUGUGUUGGCUGGAUGCCUUCCCACAUUCAUAAGAUGAGUCCUGAUCAGACUCCAAAAAUACAAAACAGUUCACUGUUUUUACUGAUGUUUUCUUAGGGAGAUAGAGGAGAGAGUUGCAUCACAAAUCACACACUUGAUUUCCUAACAAUUUUAUUGAAACAUGUUUCUUGGCAGGGCGCAGUGUUUCACGCCUGUAAUCCCAACAUUGGGGAGGCCAAGGUGGGCGGAUCGCUUGAGCCUAGGAAUGCGAGACCAGCCUGGGAACAUGGCGAAACUUAUCUCUACCAAAAAAAAAAGAGCCAGGUGUGGUGGCAUGCUCCUGUAGUCC
rnacentral:lncRNA from 1 species